rnacentral:rRNA from 1 species
ACCAGCGACGAUAGCAGGUUGAAUGUUCCAGUUCUCAAUGGAUCACUGAAGUUAAGCAACGUUGCGCGUAGUUAGUAUCCGUAUGGGUGACCAUCAGGGCAAUCACAUGUUACUGGUU